ACGAACGCUUGCGGCGUGCUUAACACCUGCAAGUCGAACGGAAAGGCCCUGCUUUUGUGGGGUUCUCGAGUGGCGAACGGGUGGGUAACACGUUAGUAACCUGCCCUUGACUUUGGGAUAACUUCAGGAAACUGGGGCUAAUACCGGAUAGGAGCUCCUGCUGCAUGGUGGGGGUUGGAAAGUUUCGGCGGUUGGGGAUGGACUCGCGGCUUAUCAGCUUGUUGGUGGGGUAGUGGCUUACCAAGGCUUUGACGGGUAGCCGGCCUGAGAGGGUGACCGGCGACAUUGGGACUGAGAUACGGCCCAGACUCCUACGGGAGGCAGCAGGGGGGAAUAUUGCACAAUGGGCGGAAGCCUGAUGCAGCAACGCCGCGUGCGGGAUGAAGGCCUUCGGGUUGUAAACCGCUUUCGCCUGUGACGAAGCGUGAGUGACGGUAAUGGGUAAAGAAGCACCGGCUAACUACGUG
rnacentral:rRNA from 1 species